UGUGCAUGCCCAAGGACAGCCAAAGACAUUGGCUUGGUGAAAAGUGGCUGAUAUCCACACCUUGCAACAAAAUGAUGGUGGAUUGACAGAUUGCCCACUACAGACAGAGGGAGAGAGCGGGAACGAGGGAGAAAGAGAGAGAGAGAGAGAGAGAGAGAGAGAGAGAGAGAGAGAGAGAGAGAGAAUAGAUGGAUAAAGAGUGAUUGAAAUGUAAGCGUCUGUCAGUUUGAUUGGCUGAUGGACCUGGAGGGAGGACUGCUGUCAGAUGGGCACCAUGGGAUUCUAGUCUCAAUUACCACCAACAUUGUCAUCUUUGAAGAACAGGUACCUUCAUCUGUGACCUUCAGCAAGUGAAGUCUGACGUGAAAAUGCCCCCCAGGGUGUCUUAUCCUAUCUCAGGUUUUAAAAUGGAAAAUUUCAUAUCUUAAUGGAAUAAAAAUAUAUUUCUCCCCGUCCUGUUGACAGUUAAGAAAUUUGCAUUUAAAUGUAACAGCCUGGUGUUUAUUGUUUCCUUGCUGUCUAAUAAAAUGACCAUGAGGUCACACUUAACUUUGAAUCAUCUCAAAGUAUAUUUUAAGAACAAUGCAAAAACCAUGACAACUCCUUAUAACAAACCACACAAAGCGCUCUGCUUUAGAUUUCCAUAUGAAGAAAACUCCAUUGUUCUGGAUUAAUAAUCACAAAAACGAGUAUAAUGAGAGAAUUUCAGGCCAAAAUUAUUUUGUUUCAAAUAAUAUCUCCAAAAAAGUUCCCGAGUGGCAUAACUAAGAGCAUUCAAAUUUCCUGAGAUUGAAUCGUGAUGAUACCACAGACACAUUCCCCGGAAUCCAUAAGUGCUUUUGUGUUCUUUUCAGAUAGUAGGAAUGUACUUGGUCUUAUUAAUCAAUCACAGAGACCGUAGCAAAUCAUGGGUUUCUGUUCAGGUAUACAAAAAAGGCAGUUAACAUUUUCCUCCAGGUGUGUCUUCAGCUGCCUUGUAGGGAGGAAAAUUCUGUGCCAGACAGAAAAGCAGUCACACCAGAGGAGGAAUGUGAAACACGUCACACAGAUGGUGCUGCUUUUCCUUACAUGUUUAAGAAAUACAAAGCAAGAAUUCCAUGGCAUUUCAUUUUCAGCAGUAGGUUGCAUUCAUGGAAUACUGAAAUGCAAUUACAGGCCUAAACCAGACUUGGGAAGAGGGCAAGUUUUCAUAAAGUAUCUGCCUGCCACAUAAAGAAAAAUACACGCUAUAGGCUUCAUAUUUAUAAAUGUGCUUUAUUGAGCUUCAGUCUGGGAAAUCUGGGGGGUUUCUUCCUCUCUGCUGCACUGAAGCCUUCUUCAAUAAGCAUUUCAUAAUUAUUACUAAAACACAUCAGUGGUGUGAAGUAUUUGAGUACUUUUUUUGGCCACUUUCUAUCUUUAAUAAGUAUCAAAGAUAUAAGCAACUUUUAUUUACCGACAUUUAUGAUUGAAUAUAUGUACUUUUUACUCUUUACACUAUAUUUUGAUUGAAAAUGACCAUUACCAAUUACAUGCUUAUUUAUUCUGCAGAAAAGUUGAUAUUUACUCACAUUUAAUUUGUCCUUCGAAUUCCAAUGGUUCUUCUACUUUGUGACAUGAUAGUCAUUUUAUUUGUUAAAUUCCUUUUUAAAAGAUUUAC